UAGGGAAUCUUCGGCAAUGGGGGCAACCCUGACCGAGCAACGCCGCGUGAGUGAAGAAGGUUUUCGGAUCGUAAAGCUCUGUUGUAAGUCAAGAACGAGUGUGAGAGUGGAAAGUUCACACUGUGACGGUAGCUUACCAGAAAGGGACGGCUAACUACGUGCCAGCAGCCGCGGUAAUACGUAGGUCCCGAGCGUUGUCCGGAUUUAUUGGGCGUAAAGCGAGCGCAGGCGGUUUGAUAAGUCUGAAGUUAAAGGCUGUGGCUCAACCAUAGUUCGCUUUGGAAACUGUCAAACUUGAGUGCAGAAGGGGAGAGUGGAAUUCCAUGUGUAGCGGUGAAAUGCGUAGAUAUAUGGAGGAACACCGGUGGCGAAAGCGGCUCUCUGGUCUGUAACUGACGCUGAGGCUCGAAAGCGUGGGGAGCGAACAGGAUUAGAUACCCUGGUAGUCCACGCCGUAAACGAUGAGUGCUAGGUGUUGGGUCCUUUCCGGGACUCAGUGCCGCAGCUAACGCAUUAAGCACUCCGCCUGGGGAGUACGACCGCAAGGUUG
rnacentral:rRNA from 1 species